rnacentral:rRNA from 1 species
UACGGAGGGGGCUAGCGUUGUUCGGAAUUACUGGGCGUAAAGCGCACGUAGGCGGCUUGUAAGUUAGAGGUGAAAGCCCGGAGCUCAACUCCGGAAUUGCCUUUAAGACUGCAUCGCUUGAAUCCAGGAGAGGUGAGUGGAAUUCCGAGUGUAGAGGUGAAAUUCGUAGAUACUUCGGAAGAACACCGAGUGGCGAAGGCGGCUCACUGGACUGGUAGUUGACGACGUGAGGUGGCG